rnacentral:tmRNA from 1 species
GGGGCUGAUUCUGGAUUCGACGGGAUUUGCGAAACCCAAGGUGCAUGCCGAGGGGCGGUUUGCCUCGUUA